rnacentral:rRNA from 1 species
AGAAUCAACGCUGGCGGCGUGCCUAACACAUGCAAGUCGUACGCGAAAGGGGAGCAAUCCCUGAGUAGAGUGGCAAACGGGUGAGUAACACGUGGGUGACCUGCCUCAGAGUGGGGGAUAACGUCCCGAAAGGGACGCUAAUACCGCAUAACAUCCUGCCCUUGGAAGGGUGGAGAUCAAAGCCGGGGAUCGCAAGACCUGGCGCUUGGAGAGGGGCCCGCGUCUGAUUAGCUAGUUGGUAGGGUAAUGGCCUACCAAGGCGACGAUCAGUAUCCGGCCUGAGAGGGCGGACGGACACACUGGGACUGAGACACGGGCCCAGACUCCUACGGGAGCAGCAGUGGGAAUGUCGCAAGUGGGCGCAAGCCUGACGACGCAACGCCGCGUGGAGGACUGAAGAUCGUCGGGUCGUAAACUCCGUAGUCGAGCGGGAAGAACGACCGUUUCCGGGACGAAGUACGUCCCGGAAG